GACGAACGCUGGCGGCGUGCCUAAUACAUGCAAGUCGAGCGAACGGACGAGAAGCUUGCUUCUCUGAUGUUAGCGGCGGACGGGUGAGUAACACGUGGAUAACCUACCUAUAAGACUGGGAUAACUUCGGGAAACCGGAGCUAAUACCGGAUAAUAUUUUGAACCGCAUGGUUCAAAAGUGAAAGACGGUCUUGCUGUCACUUAUAGAUGGAUCCGCGCUGCAUUAGCUAGUUGGUAAGGUAACGGCUUACCAAGGCAACGAUGCAUAGCCGACCUGAGAGGGUGAUCGGCCACACUGGAACUGAGACACGGUCCAGACUCCUACGGGAGGCAGCAGUAGGGAAUCUUCCGCAAUGGGCGAAAGCCUGACGGAGCAACGCCGCGUGAGUGAUGAAGGUCUUCGGAUCGUANAACUCUGUUAUUAGGGAAGAACAUAUGUGUAAGUAACUGUGCACAUCUUGACGGUACCUAAUCAGAAAGCCACGGCUAACUACGUGCCAGCAGCCGCGGUAAUACGUAGGUGGCAAGCGUUAUCCGGAAUUAUUGGCGUAAAGCGCGCGUAGGCGGUUUUUUAGUCUGAUGUGAAAGCCCACGGCUCAACCGUGGAGGGUCAUUGGAAACUGGAAAACUUGAGUGCAGAAGAGGAAAGUGGAAUUCCAUGUGUAGCGGUGAAAUGCGCAGAGAUAUGGAGGAACACCAGUGGCGAAGGCGACUUUCUGGUCUGUAACUGACGCUGAUGUGCGAAAGCGUGGGGAUCAAACAGGAUUAGAUACCCUGGUAGUCCACGCCGUAAACGAUGAGUGCUAAGUGUUAGGGGGUUUCCGCCCCUUAGUGCUGCAGCUAACGCAUUAAGCACUCCGCCUGGGGAGUACGACCGCAAGGUUGAAACUCAAAGGAAUUGACGGGGACCCGCACAAGCGGUGGAGCAUGUGGUUUAAUUCGAAGCAACGCGAAGAACCUUACCAAAUCUUGACAUCCUUUGACAACUCUAGAGAUAGAGCCUUCCCCUUCGGGGGACAAAGUGACAGGUGGUGCAUGGUUGUCGUCAGCUCGUGUCGUGAGAUGUUGGGUUAAGUCCCGCAACGAGCGCAACCCUUAAGCUUAGUUGCCAUCAUUAAGUUGGGCACUCUAAGUUGACUGCCGGUGACAAACCGGAGGAAGGUGGGGAUGACGUCAAAUCAUCAUGCCCCUUAUGAUUUGGGCUACACACGUGCUACAAUGGACAAUACAAAGGGCAGCGAAACCGCGAGGUCAAGCAAAUCCCAUAAAGUUGUUCUCAGUUCGGAUUGUAGUCUGCAACUCGACUACAUGAAGCUGGAAUCGCUAGUAAUCGUAGAUCAGCAUGCUACGGUGAAUACGUUCCCGGGUCU
rnacentral:rRNA from 1 species